rnacentral:rRNA from 1 species
AUCGAACGCUGGCGGCAGGCCUAACACAUGCAAGUCGAACGAGAGGCGGAGGGGUGAGUAAUGUCUGGGAAACUGCCUGAUGGAGGGGGAUCACUACUGGAAACGGUAGCUAAUAACGCAUAACAUCAGAUGUGCCCAGAUGGGAUUCGCUUGUGGGUGUGGUAACGGCUCACCAAGGCGACGAUCCCUAGCUGGUCUGAGAGGAUGACCAGCCACACUGGAACUGAAACACCGUCCAGGUUCCUACGGGAGGCAGCAGUGGGGAAUAUUGGACAAUGGGCGAAAGCCUGCGGAAGCCCUGCAGCGUGUAUGAAGAAGGCCUUCGGCUUGUAAAGUACUGUCAGCGAGGAGGCGCGACCAGCACAAGAAGCUCCGGCUAACUCCGUGCCAGCAGCCGCGGUAAUUC